UCAUCCCAAAAACGAGUAAAGUUUAUCAUUUUCAAUUGUACCACAUAAUAAUAAUCACUAUAUUUCUAAGGCAAAUUCAACACAAUCAAAAUUCAAAACAUUUACUUGCCAGGUUUAAGCUUAGAACAUGUACCUGUUCCCUUGUGGUUGAUUUCAAGGGGAGUAAUAAUAUUACCUUCCAAUUGUACAUGCUCUGGUUCCUAUCGUAGGCAAAGAGGGCAAAUCCCCACAUUUUGACGUCAACCAAAAUAGAGAGAAAAUAAAACCAACACCAUCGGAGUGUGUUAAAUGCAAAACUGGAGGCCAUCAACCUCAACCUUAUUGUCAUUGUCCUAACCAUA
rnacentral:lncRNA from 1 species